rnacentral:rRNA from 1 species
UUAGUAACGGCGAGCGAACAGGGAACAGUCCAGCGCCGAAUUCCACGUUCUCUCUGGACGUUGGAAAAUGUGGCGUUUAGGAGGUCGCACGCCGAGUUCGGACUCUGCAGCAAGUCCCCCUGACCGGGGCAGUUACCCAGAGUGGGUGCGAGGCCCAUAGCUGCUAGGUCCGCUUCGGAUGCGAUCUCUUGGGAGUCAGGUUGCUUGGGAGUGCAGCCCCAAUCGGGUGGUAACUCCACCUAAGGCUAAAUACGGCCGUGAGACCGAUAGCAAACAAGUACCGUGAGGGAAAGUUGCAAAGAACUUUGAAGAGAGAGUUCAAGAGUACGUGAAACUGCUCAGAGGCAAACGGGUGGGCCCUCGAAAUCCCUUGGCAGGGGGAUUCAGUUUGGAAGGGCUUGGGCGAUGUGUGCCUCUGGACCCUGUCUGGGGCCGGGUAAAUGUCGCUGUCCGUGCCCGACCUGACGCAUUUCUCCUUGCACUGGGACGCCGCAUCCAGUUGGGUAGCUGCGCGAGUCGGCCAUGAGGGCGAGCACCGGAAGGUGGCCGGCGGUGGGGCACUAGCUCUGCUGCCGGUUGGUUAGCCAGUUCGCUCGUGGCGCGACACCCGACUGAGGUUAAUUGGUUCCUUUGUGGGAACUAGCCGUCUCCUUCAUCCUUUGGAGCGGGUGCUCCGGCAGGUGCAUCACGGUUUCGCUGCUCUACUGUCCGUAGUGUGUAGCGUGCCGUGUCCUCUGCUGGCCGGUUGCUACCGCGGGGGUGCCUAUGGCUAGCGGCGAGAUAGUCGGUAACCCACCCGACCCGUCUUGAAACACGGACCAAGGAGUCUAACAUGUGCGCGAGUCAUUGGGUCUUGAAUAGGCCCACAGGCGCAAUGAAAGUGAUGGUCGGCUAUGCGUCGUCCAUGUUGGGAUCUCUCGUCCUCUGCGGCGGGAAAGCACCAACGAUCCGUCCUGUCCGAUUCAUCGGUUGGGCGGAAUCGGAGCGCACACGUUGGGACCCGAAAGGUGGUGAACUAUGCCUGGGC